rnacentral:rRNA from 1 species
CCUACGGGCUGCAGCAGUGGGGAAUUUCCCGCAAUGGCGAAAGCCUGACGGAGCAAUGCCGCGUGGAGGUAGAAGGCCCACGGGUCGUGAACUUCUUCUCCCGGAGAAGAAGCAAUGACGGUACCUGAGGAAUAAGCACCGGCUAACUUCGUGCCAGCAGCCGCGGUAAUACGAAGGGUGCAAGCGUUAAUCGGAAUUACUGGGCGUAAAGCGUGCGUAGGCGGUUUGUUAAGUCUGCUGUGAAAGCCCUGGGCUCAACCUAGGAAUGGCAGUGGAAACUGGCGAGCUAGAGUGUGAUAGAGGAUGGUGGAAUUCCCGGUGUAGCGGUGAAAUGCGUAGAGAUCGGGAGGAACAUCAGUGGCGAAGGCAGCCAUCUGGAUCGACACUGACGCUGAGGCACGAAAGCGUGGGGAGCAAACAGGAUUAGAUACCCUCGUAGUC